CCAGUUUUGCCCCAAGGACCAAUCAAAAAAGUAGCGAAGUAUGUGAGCCAUGUGCCGAGAAAAGCCGCUAUUGUUUUAUAUGUGCCCGUACCGUAAACCGACACAGGUGGAUGAGGAGAGAAUCCUAAGGCCGACGGAAGAAGCAUUGUUAAGGAACUCGGCAAAAUGACCCCGUAACUUCGGGAGAAGGGGUGCCCACUUCAGGGUGGGCCGCAGAGAAUAGGCUCAAGCAACUGUUUAGCAAAAACACAGGUCUAUGCGAAACCGUAAGGUGAAGUAUAUGGGCUGACGCCUGCCCGGUGCUGGAAGGUUAAGAGGAGAGGUUAGUCGCAAGAUGAAGCUUUGAAUUUAAGCCCCAGUAAACGGCGGCCGUAACUAUAACGGUCCUAAGGUAGCGAAAUUCCUUGUCGGGUAAGUUCCGACCCGCACGAAAGGCGUAAUGAUUUGAGCACUGUCUCGACAAUGCAUCCGGUGAAAUUGAAGUACCAGUGAAGAUGCUGGUUACCCGCGCCAGGACGGAAAGACCCCAUGGAGCUUUACUCCAGUUUGGUACUGGGAUUCGGUACUGCAUGUACAGGAUAGGUGGGAGACUGAGAAAUUGGAACGCCAGUUUCAAUGGAGUCACUGUUGGGAUACCACCCCUGCAGUAUUGGGUUUCUAACCAGCCGCUGCGAUCCAGCGGUGGGACAAUGCCAGGCGGGGAGUUUGACUGGGGCGGUCGCCUCCGAAAGGGUAUCGGAGGCGCUCAAAGGUUCCCUCAGAAUGGUCGGAAACCAUUUGAAGAGUGCAAAGGCAGAAGGGAGCUUGACUGCGACACCGACGGGUGGAGCAGGUACGAAAGUAGGACUUAGUGAUCCGGUGGCAUAAAGUGGGAUUGCCAUCGCUCAACUGAUAAAAGCUACCCUGGGAUAACAGGCUUAUCACUCCCAAGAGUUCACAUCGACGGAGUGGUUUGGCACCUCGAUGUCGGCUCAUCGCAUCCUGGGGCUGUAGCAGGUCCCAAGGGUUGGGCUGUUCGCCCAUUAAAGCGGUACGCGAGCUGGGUUCAGAACGUCGUGAGACAGUUCGGUCCCUAUCCGGCGCGGGCGGAGGAUAUUUGAGAGGAGCUGUCCUUAGUACGAGAGGACCGGGAUGGACGGACCACUGGUGUAUCUGCUGUCGACCAACGGCAUGGCAGAGUAGCCAAGUCCGGAAGGGAUAAACGCUGAAGGCAUCUAAGCGUGAAGCCCCCCUCAAGAUGAGAUAUCCCUUCCAUAAGGAAGUAAGAUCCCUUGAAGAGUACAAGGUAGAUAGGGCAGAGGUGGAAGCACGGUAACGUGUGGAGCUGACUGUUACUAAUCGAUCGAGGGCUUGAUC
rnacentral:rRNA from 1 species